GAUGAACGCUGGCGGCGUGCUUAACACAUGCAAGUCGAACGGAAAGGCCGAAGCUUGCUUCGGUACUCGAGUGGCGAACGGGUGAGUAACACGUGGGUGAUCUGCCCUGUACUUCGGGAUAAGCUUGGGAAACUGGGUCUAAUACCGGAUAUGACGAUCUCUUGGAUGGGGUUGUGGAAAGCUUUUGCGGUAUGGGAUGAGCUCGCGGCCUAUCAGCUUGUUGGUGGGGUAAUGGCCUACCAAGGCGUCGACGGGUAGCCGGCCUGAGAGGGUGUACGGCCACAUUGGGACUGAGAAACGGCCCAGACUCCUACGGGGGGCAGCAAGGGGGAAUAUUGCACAAUGGGCGCAAGCCUGAUGCAGCGACGCCGCGUGGGGGAUGACGGCCUUCGGGUUGUAAACUCCUUUCGCAAUCGACGAAGCCUUUUGGUGACGGUAGGUGGAGAAGAAGCACCGGCUAACUACGUG
rnacentral:rRNA from 1 species